UACGUAGGGUGCAAGCGUUAUCCGGAAUUAUUGGGCGAAAGAGCUCGUAGGCGGUUUGUCGCGUCUGCUGUGAAAACUGGAGGCUCAACCUCCAGCCUGCAGUGGGUACGGGCAAACUAGAGUGCGGUAGGGGAGAUUGGAAUUCCUGGUGUAGCGGUGGAAUGCGCAGAUAUCAGGAGAACACCGAUGGCGAAGGCAUCCCCUGGGCCUGCGACUGACGCUCAUGCACGAAAGCGU
rnacentral:rRNA from 1 species